rnacentral:rRNA from 1 species
GACGAACGCUGGCGGCGUGCUUAACACAUGCAAGUCGAACGGAAAGGCCCUGCUUUUGUGGGGUGCUCGAGUGGCGAACGGGUGAGUAACACGUGAGUAACCUGCCCUUGACUUUGGGAUAACUUCAGGAAACUGGGGCUAAUACCGGAUAGGAGCUCCUGCUGCAUGGUGGGGGUUGGAAAGUUUCGGCGGUUGGGGAUGGACUCGCGGCUUAUCAGCUUGUUGGUGGGGUAGUGGCUUACCAAGGCUUUGACGGGUAGCCGGCCUGAGAGGGUGACCGGCCACAUUGGGACUGAGAUACGCCGCAGACUCCUACGGGAGGCAGAAGUGGGGAAUAUUGCACAAUGGGCGGAAGCCUGAUGCAGCAACGCCGCGUGCGGGAUGACGGCCUUCGGGUUGUAAACCGCUUUCGACUGUGACGAAGCGUGAGUGACGGUAAUGGGUAAAGAAGCACCGGCUAACUACGUG